GACGAACGCUGGCGGCGUGCUUAACACAUGCAAGUCGAACGGAAAGGCCCUGCUUUUGUGGGGUGCUCGAGUGGCGAACGGGUGAGUAACACGUGAGUAACCUGCCCUUGACUUUGGGAUAACUUCAGGAAACUGGGGCUAAUAUCGGAUAGGAGCUCCUGCAGCAUGGUGGGGGUUGGAAAGUUUCGGCGGUUGGGGAUGGACUCGCGGCUUAUCAGCUUGUUGGUGGGGUAGUGGCUUACCAAGGCUUUGACGGGUAGCCGGCCUGAGAGGGUGACCGGCGACAUUGGGACUGAGAUACGGCCCAGACUCCUACUGGAGGCAGCAGUGGGGAAUAUUGCACAAUGGGCGGAAGCCUGAUGCAGCAACGCCGCGUGCGGGAUGACGGCCUUCGGGUUGUAAACCGCUUUCGCCUGUGACGAAGCGUGAGUGACGGUAAUGUGUAAAGAAGCACCGGCUAACUACGUG
rnacentral:rRNA from 1 species